rnacentral:rRNA from 1 species
AGUGAACGCUGGCGGUAGGCCUAACACAUGCAAGUCGAACGGCAGCACAGUAAGAGCUUGCUCUUACGGGUGGCGAGUGGCGGACGGGUGAGGAAUACAUCGGAAUCUACUUUUUCGUGGGGGAUAACGUAGGGAAACUUACGCUAAUACCGCAUACGACCUACGGGUGAAAGCAGGGGAUCUUCGGACCUUGCGCGAUUGAAUGAGCCGAUGUCGGAUUAGCUAGUUGGCGGGGUAAAGGCCAACCAAGGCGACGAUCCGUAGCUGGUCUGAGAGGAUGAUCGGCCACACUGGAACGUGAACACGGUCCAGGCUCCUACGGGAGGCAGCAGUGGGGAAUAUUGGACAAUGGUCGCAAGCCUGAUCCAGCCAUACCGCGUGGGUUAAGAAGGCCUUCGGGUUGUAAAGCCCUUUUGUUGGGAAAGAAAAGCAGCAGGUUAAUACCCCGCUGUUCUGACGGUACCCAAAGAAUAAGCACCGGCUAACUUCGUG